AGAGUUUGAUCCUGGCUCAGAAUCAACGCUGGCGGCGCGCUUAACACAUGCAAGUCGCACGAGAAAAGGGCAACCUUAGUAAAGUGGCGUACGGGUGAGUAACACGUGGAUCAUACACCUUUUAGUGGGGAAUAACUUUGGGAAACCGAAGCUAAUACCGCAUAAGCCCGAGAGGGGAAAGCAGCAAUGCGCUGAAAGAGUAGUCCGCGGCUGAUUAGCUAGUUGGUGAGGUAAUGGCUCACCAAGGCUUUGAUCGGUAGCCGGCCUGAGAGGGCUCACGGCCACACUGGCACUGAAACACGGGCCAGACUCCUACGGGAGGCAGCAGUGGGGAAUCUUGCACAAUGGGGGAAACCCUGAUGCAGCGACGCCGCGUGAGUGAUGAAGCCCUUCGGGGUGUAAAGCUCUUUCGACGGGAACGAUAAUGACGGUACCCGGAGAA
rnacentral:rRNA from 1 species